rnacentral:rRNA from 1 species
UACGUAGGUGGCAAGCGUUGUCCGGAUUUACUGGGCGUAAAGGGCGUGCAGGCGGUUUGUUAAGUCUAGGGUGAAAGCUCCCGGCUCAACGGGGGAGGGUCCGUCGAGAUGGCGUGUCUGGAGGCAGGGAGAGGCCAGUGGAAUUCCGGGUGUAGUGGUGAAAUGCGUAGAGAUCCGGAGGAACACCAGUGGCGAAGGCGGCUGGCUGGACCUGACCUGACGCUGAGGCGGCGAAGGCGUGGGGAGCGAA